rnacentral:rRNA from 1 species
AGACCCGAAACCCGGUGAUCUAGCCAUGGGCAGGUUGAAGGUUGGGUAACACUAACUGGAGGACCGAACCGACUAAUGUUGAAAAAUUAGCGGAUGACCUGUGGCUGGGGGUGAAAGGCCAAUCAAACCGGGAGAUAGCUGGUUCUCCCCGAAAGCUAUUUAGGUAGCGCCUCGUGAAUUCAUCUCCGGGGGUAGAGCACUGUUUCGGCUAGGGGGCCAUCCCGGCUUACCAACCCGAUGCAAACUGCGAAUACCGGAGAAUGUUAUCACGGGAGACACACGGCGGGUGCUAACGUCCGUCGUGAAGAGGGAAACAACCCAGACCGCCAGCUAAGGUCCCAAAGUCAUGGUUAAGUGGGAAACGAUGUGGGAAGGCCCAGACAGCCAGGAUGUUGGCUUAGAAGCAGCCAUCAUUUAAAGAAAGCGUAAUAGCUCACUGGUCGAGUCGGCCUGCGCGGAAGAUGUAACGGGGCUAAACCAUGCACCGAAGCUGCGGCAGCGACACUCAGGUGUUGUUGGGUAGGGGAGCGUUCUGUAAGCCUGCGAAGGUGGCCUGUGAGGGUUGCUGGAGGUAUCAGAAGUGCGAAUGCUGACAUAAGUAACGAUAAAGCGGGUGAAAAGCCCGCUCGCCGGAAGACCAAGGGUUCCUGUCCAACGUUAAUCGGGGCAGGGUGAGUCGACCCCUAAGGCGAGGCCGAAAGGCGUAGUCGAUGGGAAACGGGUUAAUAUUCCCGUACUUGGUGUUACUGCGAAGGGGGGACGGAGAAGGCUAUGUUGGCCGGGCGACGGUUGUCCCGGUUUAAGCGUGUAGGUGUGUGUUCCAGGUAAAUCCGGUUCACUUUAACACUGAGGCGUGAUGACGAGGCACUACGGUGCUGAAGCAACAAAUGCCCUGCUUCCAGGAAAAGCCUCUAAGCAUCAGGUAACACGAAAUCGUACCCCAAACCGACACAGGUGGUCAGGUAGAGAAUACCAAGGCGCUUGAGAGAACUCGGGUGAAGGAACUAGGCAAAAUGGUGCCGUAACU